UACGUAGGGUGCAAGCGUUGUCCGGAAUUAUUGGGCGUAAAGAGCUCGUAGGCGGUUUGUCGCGUCUGCUGUGAAACCCGAGGCUCAACCUCGGGCCUGCAGUGGGUACGGGCAGACUAGAGUGGCGGUAGGGGAGAUUGGAAUUCCUGGUGUAGCGGUGGAAUGCGCAGAUAUCAGGAGGAACACCGAUGGCGAAGGCGGCUCUCUGGACCGGAUCUGACGCUGAGGAGCGAAAGCGUGGGGAGCGAACAGG
rnacentral:rRNA from 1 species